UAAUUUUUGAUUUUAUGGUUAAUUAACAAUAAGCGCAUGUAUGGUAUGUACAGUAAGGUUUUUUUAUCCUUUUAUUUAAUUAAAUAGAUGGAUAAAAAACUUUGCUGUACAUACUACUCAUGAGUCAAUACUGUCGAGCAUGCCGUACAUACUGCACAUCAAAGAUCAGCUUGGGGAUUACAUACAUAAAUGUUAGAACCAUCUCUUUUCACAAAUGUAAUUUUGACAUAGUUAGAAAAAAAGGUCUGGAGUAUCUAUCUAUCUCUCCAGGUACAUAAUACGGCCUCUCAAUUGUGCUGAAAAUAGCAGCCAUAUGUGUGUGCAAAAUUUAAAUCACUGUCAAACUUGUGUCUGGUGUUUGCCCUGUCCUCUGACAUGCCGGAAACGGCAAACAAUAUGCACAUGUGAAAUUCAAAUCACUAUCAAAAUAAUUUUUAAUAUUUAAUUGUUAAAAUUGAAAUUAAAUAAUAUUAAAAAAAAUGUUUUAGAAAUACAAAUGAGUACAAAUUUAUACAAAUGAGUACUUUCAGAGUACAGGAUUUGAAAAAAGUACUGUUUGUGAAAAAAGAGUAAAAAACUCAUUAAAUGAGAAUAGUUGGUCACCUUAAUUGUCUUCAUAAUUUUUUGGUAGAUUUUAAAGUUCUUGCAAAAGAUGGUUUUAUCUAUGAAAAUAUUGAAAUUAAAAUCAAUCUUGCUGUUAUCAUAUGUGAUGGACCAGCUAGAGCAUUUGUAAAGUGUAUUAAAGGACACAAUGGUUAUAACUGAUGUGAAUGUUGUGUUUUGAAAGGAGAGUGGUGUGUUCAUAUUGAAACAAGAUAUUGUGUAAAGAGGUUUUCAAAGAAGUCGUUUUAACAACAAUGGAAAAGCUUCCAAUUCCUGAGAUAACCGUGAAAGCAUUCGAUACAUUAAAGAAUCGUUUAAAAGUUUGCUUAAUUUCGACAGUGUAAUUUUAAUUACUAUUUUUUUGAAAUAAACCAAUCAAUUUAUA